AGGAGGAGGAGGAGGACCGGAGCGGUGCCCGCCGCCUGCCUCCCCCCGAGCCCCCCGCCCUGCUUGCGCGGGUCUGCGCGGCUCGGCGGGCGCUGCGCUGCCUCCCCCCGCGGCCCCCGCGCUGGAUAUGUGGAUGCUCACGCGAAGAUGGAUGUAGCCAUCGGGCUGCUGGGGCUGCUGACGCUUCUGCUGGACGGCAGCUCCGCGCAAGGGGUCUACGCUCCCCCCACGGUGCGGAUCGUGCACUCAGGCCUGGCGUGCAACAUUGAGGAGGAGCGCUACUCAGAGAGGGUCUACACCAUCCGCGAGGGCGAGACGCUGGAGCUGACCUGCCUGGUCACCGGCCAUCCUCGGCCACAGAUCAGGUGGACCAAAACAGCAGGAAGUGCCUCUGACAGAUUUCAAGAUUCGAGUGUCUUCAAUGAAACGCUGAGGAUAUCCAACAUCCAGCGCCACCAAGGAGGACGCUACUACUGCAAGGCUGAGAACGGCUUGGGUUCACCAGCUAUCAAGUCCAUAAGAGUGGAUGUGUACUAUUUGGACGAUCCAAUAGUAACGGUCCACCAGAGCAUCGGGGAAGCGAAAGAGCAGUUUUACUAUGAGAGAACAGUGUUUCUCAGGUGUGUCGCCAACUCAAAUCCACCCGUUCGGUACAGCUGGCGACGCGGCCAGGAGGUGCUGCUGCAAGGGUCUGAUAAAGGAGUGGAGAUCUAUGAGCCUUUCUUUACCCAGGGAGAAACAAAGAUCCUGAAGCUGAAGAACCUCCGCCCUCAGGACUAUGCGAACUACAGCUGCAUCGCCUCGGUGAGGAAUGUCUGCAGCAUCCCAGACAAGAUGGUGUCCUUCCGACUCUCCAAUAAGACAGCAUCUCCUUCAAUUAAGCUUCUUGUGGAUGACCCAAUAGUGGUGAACCCUGGAGAAGCAAUCACGUUAGUAUGUGUGACGACAGGAGGGGAGCCAACCCCCAGUCUGACGUGGGUGAGGUCUGCCGGCGUCCUGCCCGAGAAGACAGUCCUGAAUGGCGGCACUUUAACGAUACCUGCCAUCACGUCAGAAGAUGCUGGCACGUACAGUUGCAUCGCCAAUAACAAUGUUGGAAAUCCUGCUAAGAAGUCCACCAACAUCAUCGUAAGAGCCUUAAAAAAAGGACGGUUUUGGAUCACCCCUGAUCCCUAUCACAAAGACGACAACAUCCAGAUUGGGCGAGAGGUGAAAAUCUCCUGCCAGGUGGAAGCCAUCCCUUCGGAAGAGCUUACGUUCAGCUGGUUUAAGAAUGGACGUCCCUUGCGAAGCUCUGAGCGGAUGGUGAUCACACAGACUGACCCCGACGUUUCGCCUGGUACCACCAACCUGGACAUCAUUGACUUGAAAUUCACAGACUUUGGGACUUAUACUUGUGUUGCGUCUCUAAAAGGAGGUGGAAUAUCAGAUAUCAGCAUUGAUGUCAACAUUUCCAGCAGCACAGUCCCACCCAAUUUGACUGUUCCUCAAGAAAAAUCACCACUGGUCACCCGGGAAGGGGACACGAUCGAGCUGCAGUGCCAGGUGACGGGGAAGCCCAAGCCCAUCAUUCUCUGGUCCCGAGCAGACAAGGAAGUUGCUAUGCCGGAUGGGGCAAUGCAGACGGAGAGCUACGAUGGGAUCCUGAGGAUAGUGAACGUCUCCAGGGAGAUGACGGGAACCUACAGGUGCCAGACCAGCCAGUACAACGGGUUUAACGUGAAGCCCAGAGAAGCUUUGGUGCAGCUCAUUGUACAAUACCCUCCCGCCGUGGAGCCCACCUUCCUGGAGAUUCGACAAGGCCAAGGCCGGAGCAUCACCAUGAGCUGUCGGGUCCUGAGGGCUUAUCCCACCCGGGUCCUCACCUACGAGUGGCGCCUGGGCAGCAAGCUGCUGCGCACCGGCCAGUUUGACAUGCAGGACUCUACCGAGUACACUGUCAGCAGCCUCUCCCGCGACAGCUACGGCAUCUACAACUGCAACAUCAUCAACGAAGCGGGCGCUGGCCGGUGCAGCUUCCUCGUAACAGGCAAAGCCUACGCCCCCGAGUUCUACUACGACACCUACAACCCGCUGUGGCAGAACAGACCCCGCGUCUACUCCUACAGCCUCCAGUGGACCCAGAUGAACCCCGACGCCGUGGACCGCAUCCUCGCCUACCGCUUAGGCAUCAGGCAGGCUGGACAACAGCGUUGGUGGGAACAGGAAAUUACAGUGAACGGAAAUAUUCAAAAAGGAGAAUUAAUUACCUACAACUUAACGGAGCUGAUCAAGCCAGAGGCUUACGAAGUCCGGCUAACACCCAUCACCAGAUUUGGAGAGGGGGACUCAACUAUCCGGGUCAUCAAGUAUAGUGCUCCAGUAAAUCCACACCUACGAGAGUUCCACUGCGGGUUUGAGGAUGGUAACAUUUGCCUUUUCACUCAAGAUGAUACGGACAAUUUCGACUGGACCAAACAAAGCACUGCCACGAGAGACACAAAGUACACCCCGAACACGGGGCCGAACGCGGAUCGGACUGGCUCCAAGGAAGGUUUCUACAUGUACAUUGAGACGUCACGCCCCAGGCUGGAAGGAGAGAAGGCCAGACUUGUUAGUCCUGUUUUCAGUGUCGCUCCAAAAAAUCCUUACGGAGCUACCAACACAGCCUAUUGCUUUAGCUUCUACUAUCACAUGUAUGGACAGCACAUAGGAAGCUUGAACGUUUACCUGCGGUUGAAAGGUCAGACCGCGAUAGAGAACCCCUUGUGGUCUUCAAGUGGAAACAAGGGACAGCACUGGAACCAAGCCCGCGUUAAUAUAAACCCCCCAACUUCAUUUCAGCUCAUAUUUGAAGGGAUUCGGGGCCCUGGCAUUGAAGGGGAUAUUGCUAUUGAUGAUGUAUCGAUUGUGGAAGGAGAGUGUAUGAAAUCAGACCAACCGGCCAACAAUUUACGAUCAGGUGCUGUUGGGACAUUAGCGCAUAUACGACUUAUCCCAGUUACCAUCCUCAUGUCUGUCUUAAGUCAUCAGAGGUGACCUUAUCCUGGCAGAGGCUACAAAAGAUUCACCAGGCACUGGCAUGAAGAAAGAGUCUUUGUAAAAUGGACAUUUAAAAACAAACUACCAAAGAUUCCUCCACUGACUGACUCAAAAAGUUAAAUAAAUACGUAAAUAAAUAAUAAUUAAAAAAAAAAAAAAAGAUUAAAAAGCACUGGGGACAUAAAAGGCAUCACGGGAGCGUAACUCGCUAUGAACCACGCGUGAGAACGAGAUCUGGCCUAAAAAAGGAAGAGACCUUCAGGUGCUUUUGUGGUCGAUACUGGAUACAGCAUCAUCUGGUUGAACUCUCAGAAAAGAGCUAUGGAAACCCUUGUCAAAGCACAAAGUCAUGGCUGGUUUUGUUUCAAAUGAAUAGUUUGCUUGUUACCAUGGAAACCUAAUGGCCUGCCAAAAAAAAAUAAGGAAGGAGAGAGGAAAUAAAAACAAAAACACAGACAGAGAGAGAGAGAGAGAAACACCUCACUGUAAACAGGGUAUGUGAAGAGCUGGCAUUCAUUUUUCCCUUCCAGAAGGUUUUUAGUCUAGAGUUCAAUCAAUGUAGGCCCUUUCUACUUCGGCUGUCACCUCCCCUAGAGAAUAACCCUAAAUCCGAGCUGUUUUCAGACAUUCCUGUUUCAUUUCUCAUGGCUCUAUGCUCGAUAACUGUAUGCUGUCUCCUUUUGCAUGCAUUCCUAUCCAGGAUGUGCGCCCUGGGCUUACAUAUUACACAGGCUUCUCGGAGUUUGCUUGCGGCCACUCGGAACACCCCCUCUCCCCUCCCCGACCAAGUCAUCUGUUCCAAUGAAGUGAAGAAACCAAACCACCGUCUUUUAUAAGAUUGCCAUGGAAACCAAGUGCCUUCAAUGAAACAAGCCUGAUUUAACAAAAUACAAACGAAAUACAAACGAAAUGAUUAAUAAGAGUUUCGACGCAGAAGCUUGCACUGCUGAAAUGUGGUUUGUGCAAACUCUUUUCUAAACAAACUACGGAGCCUGGGUGUGCAGGCAAGGAGACGAAGCCGCUUCUGGAGAUGGAUGGACCUAAGCUGCUGCGUAAGCCCUUUCGGAUGAGAUAUGUGUUGUUUAACCUUCCAGACAGCCAUGGCCUUUCAGCUUCUUAUCCAUUAGAAAACCGCUUCCGUCGGUCCUGGAAAUGGGAGCAGCACUCUUUUUGUUGUUGUCGUCGUUGUUUUUUCAGGUGAUCGAGUGGGUCAACCAGAGGGAAAGGUGGUUGAGAUACACUUAGCGCAGAAGGUGGUAAAAAAAACAAACACAGAAGUGAUUUUCUUAUUCUGACCUCCGCUCGCGGGACGGGGAAGCGGGCGCGGGGCGGGGACGGCAGCGCGACACCAAGCAAACCACCGAGCUCUCGGCAGCCCUGGCGCUGGCUAAGCCCCGCGGGGGCCGUGCCUCUGCCCUGCAGCCAGACUCUGUGCAGAUCGCGAGAGAUUAUUUUGUUAUUGUAGCGAAAUUUAACAAAAAGAAAUAAUCCACUUUUACAACAAAAAAAAACCCACAAAUAAAAGCUGUAUGAAUGGUUUUGAGCUACCUGAACACGUACCGUUAGCCAGCCGGUUUUCCACUGCAUUGUAAAGUUCCCUUACAGUUGGUUAUUACAAUUUGAAGACCUUUUUCCUUAAAUUAUCUCAGCUUUUAACUUCAUUUAAAAAAAAAAAAAAGACUUUUGUCUGAAGAAGAGUAUUAUUAUAAUAAUUAUUAUAAUUAUUAUUACUAUUCUGUGUUCUCUCGACACCCUAGGAUUAAAAACAAAACAUGAUAUGCAAGUAAUUGGAAUACAAACAUGAAAACAAACAAACCAACGAGUAUAACAUUUGCAAAUAUGAGUAUAAAAAGCACAACGAGAUGCAGUAAAACAAUGACAAGGCUUGAUUUUUUUUAUUCUGUAGAGAAAUGUUUGUGCAAAUUCAGUAAUUCAACUGAAGAGAUAAUUUUACAGCUAUGUUCAAUAAAGCCUCUUUCCAGGUAAGGUACGCCAAGUGGUACGUGUGUUUGUUGAGCAAUGUGUGCCCUGCAUGGGCACGGCUGGAAUGGCUUUGUUUUUCCCCUGCUAAACUGGUAUUAUCCGAGGAUAUAAUGGUCCGUACUGGUGCUUGGGGGCUGGAGCUUUGUGAGGAUGCUGCUGGCUCCCUGGUUUCUUGGCAGGCUGUGGUGUCUGUAAUCCCCUGCGCUGCAGCAGCAAGGCUGCUUGGAAAGCAGUGGGAGCUCCAAGUCAGGAUGGACUCAGAGUUUUGACACCCUUAAAGAAAAAAGCCCGUUUCCCACUGGAAAGGACUGGAUUUUAAUUGUGGAUGGAGGAGCAGGUCAGGUACGGUGAGACCCUGCUGCAGGUUUUUGCUCAGGAGGUUGGUGUGUCUCAUAAUUCAGGAUUUGUGGAAACCAAACCUUCUCGUGUAUCAUCCUGCUGAGCUCUCUGAAAGGCACAGGACUUGUGGGAUCGUCCGAGAGGCUUUCUCGUGGGCGCUUUUGGUGUGACUGCCUUCGGAUGGGCUGGCUUUGCCCGAGGCUGCUGGGAGCCCUGCCAGGAGUGGAUGCAUGGGGUUUGAGCAGUGAGUGCUCUUCUUCCAGUUCCUAUUCUGCCUCUCACCAAUGCGUGAGCGGGGCACCUCCUUUUGGCUCAUCUUCUGUUUUGAGCAGCAGCUGCUGCGGUGCUUCUGGCUGGAGCCGCAGCUGGCGCUGCACAAGGUCCCUGCCACGGGGGGACCGGCACACGCGCUCGUGUUCACCAUGGCACCUUGGGGACAAACCCUGUUCUGCUGUGGUGUAUGACCCCCCAAUUUCACUGUCCUGAUCAGAUUAAAUGGGGAAUAUGGGGAAAAAAAAAAGCCCAGAGUGGCAAUCUGUUAAUCAUUUUUUAUGUAAACAUUCCAUUUCCUUUAAAGUAUUUUCCUGGGUUUCCCUUGAAUUUAUCCCUUCCAACAACAGACUCAAAGUAAAGUGGACUUUGGAUGACGAUUGAUCAGCACAGGCCAGGAGAAACAUCUUGGAAGCACCAGGCAGGGCUCCAGCCACUGCGCUGACGGCAGCGGUGUGAUGGGGUCUCCAUGGGAAGGGAGGAUUGGGAAAGCACUUUGCGAUGUCCUCUCAUGCUUGAUGAAGAUGGUCCGAAGAUACUGAAAUGGAGGUCAUUCUUGCUUGUUUAGAAUCCAAGCUAAGAUGACAAACUGAAAUCUGGUUUUCCUCUUCGUAUUUUGAUUUUUCUUUCCUCUGGUCGAGGACCACAUUGGGUAUUUGAUAGAGGGGUUUGAUUGACAUAAAAGACUGCAGUCAUCAUCUUUUGGGGCGGGAUAAUCUGUUUGUCCUGAAAAGACCAGGUCUUCGUGUGAAAGGAAAUUUAUUUCUCAUGCCUACUUCAGUUUUACCCUGCUUGCUUGAGUGUAGAAGAAGGUGCUAAGAAAAGCUCGUUUUCUCUUUCAGAUGUUGAUUUAGGUAAUGUUCUCUUCCCUCCCAACCCUACUGUAAACCACUGAAAAGGCAAUGGGAUUUGACUUUGUCUGAGAUUUGCAUUUCCUAGCCUUGGGGUUUAUUCUUUUUCAUUUUAGUCUGAAAAUGAAUGUGAUAUUCGUAAUAUUUUUUGAUCAAACAAAGGGAGUUUGAACUGGUGGCUCUUCAAUGGGAUUUGCUGAAGGCUUUGGUUCAGUUCUUGGGUAUCCAAUAUAGUAAUGUUCCUGAUGGAUUUUUAAGUUGGACAUCAAAUACAUCAUUGUGGACUUUGCAUCAAUUACAGCGCUUGGCUGUUGGGAGCAGUGACCCAGCUUUGGGGGUGGCUGUGGGAGUUAACUGGGUGUUCCCAAGGCAGAGGUAGGUGGUGCCCAUGAUAAACUUUCCACUUCUUUUUCUUUCUCAGGAUGAUGUGGGAGAACUCCCCUUCUAUUGCCUCCAACAAAGCCGUGCAAGUUCAUUUCUUUCACAAAGCACAUGUGAAUUCCCACAUACAGUUACAAAAUGGUGUGGCCGGGAGCAAUAAGGAAGGGAUUGUCCCCCUCGACUCAGUGCUGAUUAGGGAGCUCGUACUACAAGAUUCAUAUUAUGUGAAGGAUGUAUUUUCUCCCCAAGACACUACACCCAAAGUCUGUGAAGAUGGCAUCCCACUUACAUGAGAUGACCUCAAAAGAGAUGGAGGAAACACAUGUUACUGCGAGUAGGAAUUAGCAGCCUCAGCUCCUUCUCAGGAAAGAUCAGAUGUGCUUCUGCUUGCACACUACCAGCUGCAAAGGGGAAAACUCUCUGUGUUUGUGUGUAAAUAUUAUAUAAAUAACUGUAAUUGUAUGUAUUUAAUGUAUAUAUAAUGAUUAUUACAUUUUAACGAUCCCAAGUAUUGUAUAUAGCCAAAGCCUGGUCUCUUCUUUUACUAGCACACCCACUGUAGAUUUAUUUUUUGUCAUUAUUGCUAAUGUAUCUGGUUGAAUUGCAAAUUGGUCUCACUUUUACCUCAAAGGCUAUAUGUUCU